AUGUAGGGCAAUCUGUCUUUAAGUAGAGUUAAAUUACUCUUAAGGAAAAAAAAAAAAGAAUCCUAGAUAGUUUUCCCUUCAAGUCAGAGCCCUCA
rnacentral:pre_miRNA from 1 species